rfam:Cavia porcellus supercont2_61 genomic scaffold, whole genome shotgun sequence.
AGGUUCUUGUUAUUCAUAAGCAUGCUAAUUGGGCUUUCACAUCACUCCAUAAGAUGGUCCUUGCUCAAAUCUUGUUAUGCUGUUGGCUCAUUAUUUAACUGAUA